UACGUAGGUGGCAAGCGUUGUCCGGAUUUACUGGGUGUAAAGGGCGUGUAGUCGGGCUGACAAGUCAGAUGUGAAAUCCGGGGGCUCAACCCCCGAACUGCAUUUGAAACUGUUGGUCUUGAGUAUCGGAGAGGCAGGCGGAAUUCCUAGUGUAGCGGUGAAAUGCGUAGAUAUUAGGAGGAACACCAGUGGCGAAGGCGGCCUGCUGGACGACAACUGACGGUGAGGCGCGAAAGCGUGGGGAGCAAACAGG
rnacentral:rRNA from 1 species